UACGGAGGGAGCUAGCGUUGUUCGGAAUUACUGGGCGUAAAGCGCACGUAGGCGGCUUUGUAAGUUAGAGGUGAAAGCCCAGGGCUCAACCCUGGAAUUGCCUUCGAUACUGUUUGGCUAGAGACCGGAAGAGGUAAGUGGAACUGCGAGUGUAGAGGUGAAAUUCGUAGAUAUUCGCAAGAACACCAGUGGCGAAGGCGGCUUACUGGUCCGGUUCUGACGCUGAGGCGCGAAAGCGUGGGGAGCAAACAGG
rnacentral:rRNA from 1 species